rnacentral:rRNA from 1 species
GAUGAACGCUGGCGGCGUGCCUAAUACAUGCAAGUCGAGCGAACGGACGAGAAGCUUGCUUCUCUGAUGUUAGAGGCGGACGGGUGAGUAACACGUGGGUAACCUACCUAUAAGACUGUGCUAACUUCGGGAAACCGGAGCUCAUACCGGCUAAUAAUUUGAACCGCAUGGUUCAAAAGUGAAAGACGGUCUUGCUGUCACUUAUAGAUGGAUCCGUGUUGCAUUAGCUAGUUGGUAAGGUAACGGCUUACCAAGGCAACGAUGCGUAGCUGGUCUGAGAGGAUGAACAGCCACACUGGAACUGAGACACGGUCCAGACUCCUACGGGAGGCAGCAGUGGGGAAUUUUGGGCAAAGGGCGCAAGCCUGAUGGAGCAACGCCGCGUGAAGGAUGAAGGUCUUCGGAUUGUAAACUGCUUUUGUUAGGAAAGAACAUGCUCUGAUUAAUAUCCGCAGAUCAUGACGGUACCGAAAGAGUAAGCCACGGCUAACUACGUG